UAGUGGCGAACGGGUGAGUAACACGUGGGCAAUCUGCCCUUCACUCUGGUGACAAGCCCUGGAAACGGGGUCUAAUACCGGAUAUGAGCCUGGGAGGCAUCUCCCGGGUUGUAAAGCUCCGGCGGUGAAGGAUGAGCCCGCGGCCUAUCAGCUUGUUGGUGAGGUAAUGGCUCACCAAGGCGACGACGGGUAGCCGGCCUGAGAGGGCGACCGGCCACACUGGGACUGAGACACGGCCCAGACUCCUACGGGAGGCAGCAGUGGGGAAUAUUGCACAAUGGGCGAAAGCCUGAUGCAGCGACGCCGCGUGAGGGAUGACGGCCUUCGGGUUGUAAACCUCUUUCAGCAGGGAAGAAGCGAAAGUGACGGUACCUGCAGAAGAAGCGCCGGCUAACUACGUGCCAGCAGCCGCGGUAAUACGUAGGGCGCAAGCGUUGUCCGGAAUUAUUGGGCGUAAAGAGCUCGUAGGCGGCUUGUCACGUCGAUUGUGAAAGCCCGAGGCUUAACCUCGGGUCUGCAGUCGAUACGGGCUAGCUAGAGUGUGGUAGGGGAGAUCGGAAUUCCU
rnacentral:rRNA from 1 species